AAUAGUAAACUAAGGAAAAGCUUUCGAAAGCUUGAAGUAAGGAAAAUAGAAUCAAGAAGAAAUGAGAAGCAAAAACGGAAGAAGUACGCUGUUUUCUUCUUUAACAUGUUCCAUUGAGACGAAUUCUUUGAAAUCUUUCGAAUUUUUCUACUGUUUGAGACAGAAUUUUUUUAAUACAUAUUCUUUUUUUCUCAAAAAUAAAAGCAUUUCUAGCUAGCCAUGAUUGUCACAGGAGGUAUUAUGCUUGCUAAAUCGGAAUUGAUCCAUGCGUUCAUCACUGCAAAACAGAACACUGUAGCGUCUCUGGAGGAAUUUGACAGAUCGGACAAGUCUUGUCGAUUCCUCUAGUAUUCUUUUAUUCAAAUUAUGCAUUACUGGAUCUUGUUUUGAAGGCGUUCAUGGAGGUUAUCCAUAAGAGAAUGAAAAAAUUGAAAUUUGCUGGAUUUGCUGAGCUAUUUCAAUACUAAAGUUGUGGCUAAGCAGUUGGGGGUUCUAGUCUCCAUUCUCUAUAAUGAGUUGUCGCACCCAGGUAAUAUUAUCAUCAUUGCAUUCACCAUUUGGGAUUCUGAAAGGAGCCUGAUCUCCAAACUAGGGGUCUUGCCUAAUCUUAAUUGAACUUUGUGCCGUUAUGCUCCAUUUUACUCCUUUUUCUAGUACUUUUCUAUCCUCUAAGAGGCUUUGCCAAGCCCAUGAAGAUCUGUUACCUGCUUUUGCUUCCAAGAAUGAUGAGUACUUGAAGUACUUAUUUUUAUAGAUUUUGUAAAAGAGUGUGUGAGUGUUUGUGAGAAGCCGCCAGUCUUAUUUGCCUAGCAUUGCCAAGUUGAAAGCCUUGAGAUCUUUGAAGGUUAAUCCUUCAUGAUUCUUGUCUCGACUCAUGAUAUCCCAGUUGACCCAGUGCAUUCUCUUUUCAUUAGUUUUCUGUCCUCACCAAAAUUACAUCAUCAUUCUAUGUAAUUUCUCCAGUAAUGAGUCAGAUAAUUUAAAGCAGCUUAAAGUCUAUACUGGAAUUGCUGAUCCUAUUGCCUUUAUAAGUAUCUCCCUUCUACUAGUGGGUAAGAAUGUUCUUUUUCAAUGCACCAAUUUCUUUUCUACCUUAUUUUUAAUAAAAAAAGGUUUCGUUCUUAGACCUAUUUACUAUAGAUGGCAACCCUAAAUAUUUAUCUUGAGCGCCAUUAUUUUGAACUCCUAAUGUAUUAGCCAAAACAGUCCGAAUU